ensembl:snoRNA
AACUUCUUAUAUAAGCACUGUGCUAAAAUUGCAGAAACUAGGACCAUAUCUUGGUUUUUGUAAUAAUGCUAGCAGAGUACAUACAAGAAUAAACAUAACAGCAUUAGAUUGUAAAGACUGGGGUGAGGUCAGGCGCAGUGGCUCACACCUGUAAUUCCAGCACUUUGGGA